rnacentral:lncRNA from 7 species
CGGCUUAGGGUCUCAAUCAAUCGCGCUAGGAUGCCUUGACGUGGGGCGCUCGUCACCAAGAAGCAGUGGACCUGAUACCGCCGCAGCUACUCCAUGGGAACACAAUCAUUCUGCCAUCCCCGGGUGGUCAGGCGGGAUCAUCUUGCAGCGUGACUCGGGUACAUGGUAUUGGAUCGAGGAAUUGUGGAGUUCGUGGAUGGAAUCGCCCACUUGAGCCCUCCUUCAUCAUGAUGCCGCUCGCCGCGGUUACAUCCACCUACGCUGGCGAUUGGUGCCCAAAAUUCGACCGAGUGCGAUCUCUGGCAUGUGCGAAAGCGGGGCGUAGCACCGACGAGUUGGGUGUUGUAACACCCUGAAUUUGGGGUAUAAAAUUUCUUUUUCUAAUAUUCACUAAAUUCAGUUGUUACCCUCUCUUUUUCUUGCUUUUCUUUUCUUUAUUCUGAAUGGUGAAGAGUUAUUUUAUAUAUGUAUAAGUUUUUAGUGUGGUAAAAUAAAAUCCUAGAUAAAACUUUGGUUUUUGCAUUUCAUACCGAAGCACAAUUUUUGUAUGCUACCAUAUUUAUGCUAGUUGGACACGAUCUAAAAUAAACAAAUGCAUUCAUAUGUAUAUAAAUAUAUAUCUAUAUCUAAAUAAAAGGAGUAAAUAGAAAAGGAAAAGAGAAAGCAGGAACUGUUUUUGUGUGUGCAUGUGGAGAAUUGCAUGUGGA